GCCUUGUGAUGAUCAACUAUUCAGUUCUGCUUCCGAAAGAGAGCAAUCUCUUGUGGACAACUCUUUUACCAAAAAAAAUAUCUGAUCC
rnacentral:snoRNA from 1 species